AGUGAACGCUGGCGGUAGGCCUAACACAUGCAAGUCGAACGGCAGCACAGGAGAGCUUGCUCUCUGGGUGGCGAGUGGCGGACGGGUGAGGAAUACAUCGGAAUCUACUCUGUCGUGGGGGAUAACAUAGGGAAACUUACGCUAAUACCGCAUACGACCUACGGGUGAAAGCAGGGGAUCUUCGGACCUUGCGCGAGUGAAUGAGCCGAUGUCGGAUUAGCUAGUUGGCGGGGUAAAGGCCCACCAAGGCGACGAUCCGUAGCUGGUCUGAGAGGAUGAUCAGCCACACUGGAACUGAGACACGGUCCAGACUCCUACGGGAGGCAGCAGUGGGGAAUAUUGGACAAUGGGCGCAAGCCUGAUCCAGCCAUACCGCGUGGGUGAAGAAGGCCUUCGGGUUGUAAAGCCCUUUUGUUGGGAAAGAAAUCCAGCUGGCUAAUACCCGGUUGGGAUGACGGUACCCAAAGAAUAAGCACCGGCUAACUUCGUGCCAGCAGCCGCCGUAA
rnacentral:rRNA from 1 species